rnacentral:rRNA from 1 species
UACGGAGGGUGCAAGCGUUGUUCGGAAUCACUGGGCGUAAAGGGCGCGUAGGUGGCCACUAUAAGGCUGCGGUGAAAGUUCGGGGCUCAACCCCGAAUCUGCCGCGGCGACUGUAGGGCUUGGGCACCGUAGAGGCAGAUGGAAUUCCGGGUGUAGCGGUGGAAUGCGUAGAGAUCCGGAAGAACACCAGUGGCGAAGGCGGCAUCCUGGACUGGUCCUGACGCUCAGGAGCGAAAGCGUGGGGAGCGAACAGG